GACGAACGCUGGCGGCGUGCCUAAUACAUGCAAGUUGAGCGCUGAAGGUUGGUACUUGUACCAACUGGAUGAGCAGCGAACGGGUGAGUAACGCGUGGGGAAUCUGCCUUUGAGCGGGGGACAACAUUUGGAAACGAAUGCUAAUACCGCAUAAAAACUUUAAACACAAGUUUUAAGUUUGAAAGAUGCAAUUGCACCACUCAAAGAUGAUCCCGCGUUGUAUUAGCUAGUUGGUGAGGUAAAGGCUCACCAAGGCGAUGAUACAUAGCCGACCUGAGAGGGUGAUCGGCCCAAUUGGGACUGAGACACGGCCCAAACUCCUACGGGAGGCAGCAGUAGGGAAUCUUCGGCAAUGGACGAAAGUCUGACCGAGCAACGCCGCGUGAGUGAAGAAGGUUUUCGGAUCGUAAAACUCUGUUGGUAGAGAAGAACGUUGGUGAGAGUGGAAAGCUCAUCAAGUGACGGUAACUACCCAGAAAGGGACGGCUAACUACGUG
rnacentral:rRNA from 1 species